AUAACAUUCUUUGUUUUCAUUUUAAUUAACUUGGCGAUGUUGCCUAAAUUGUCUAGAAAUAGUGCAACGUAUAUCGUCCACGUAUAUCCUCGCUGGAUUCCAAUGGCAUGAUCACAUGAGCCAUUCAUCAUAAACAUUGUAGUGCUAAUGUGCUGAUAGUAUGCAACAGUUUACGUUGAGGUUGUGAAUUUUUUUUUUUUUUGAAAAAUUCAAUUGCCAUCGUAUCGAAUCUAGUGAUCGUUGUGAAAGAAAACCAAGCAAUUUUAUAUUUUGAAAGGAAAGAAAAUGCCAAAAAGUGUUACAGUUUUGAUUGAUGUGAAGAAGUUCAUCAAUUUUAUCCAUUUCAUCGAUUUUCUUCGAAUUAAAAGGAGAAAAAUAUAUCUAAAGUGCAUUCUUUUUGAAAAAGUGAAAGAAGAAAUCUGCGAAAUUUAUGAAAGUAAAAAGUGAAAAAGUGAAUCAAAUUCAAUACAACAUAUUUAUUGUGGAAAAUAUGAAAAAUAUGGCAAAAAAAAUAUAAAAAGUAUCUUCGACAUAUUUGGGAUUACUUCUGAAGGAUUACAUUUUUUGAAUGAUCAAGUUGUCCAUGUCGAGGUAAUGGAAUAUUCGCUCCAAUAUUUCCGUCGGUAAAUUUUCGAGGUGAUAUGGUCAUCGCAUAUAGUCGUCAAUUGGUGUCUCAACGUUCGCGUACAUAGUGCUCCUUUUAGCUGCGGUAUGCGGUCGAGAAUGUUGUUUCCAGUGAUUUGUCUAACGGAAUCUGUGAAAGAAUAUGGACAACGAUGCAAUGGAUAAUUUGACGGUGGUAUCACCGGGGAUGCAAACAAUGGCGACAUUCUUAUACAUACGUCUUCUUCAUCCCUGAAAGUGUUUCCAUGGAUUUCCACAAUACGCAAUGCGCAAGACAGAAAAUCAUUGAAUGUUCAG